GUGCUCAUUUCAGCAGCACAUAAACUAGAACUGGAACAAAGCAGAGAAGAGUAGCAGGGCCUCUGUGCAAGGAAAACAUGCAAGUUUGUGAAACAUUUCAUUAAAAA